AUUGAACGCUGGCGGCAGGCCUAACACAUGCAAGUCGAACGAGUGGCGGACGGGUGAGUAAUGUCUGGGAAACUGCCUGAUGGAGGGGGAUAACUACUGGCAACGGGCGCUAAUACCGCAUACUAUCAGAUGAGCCUAGGACGGAUUAGCUAGUUGGUGGGGUAACGGCCUACCAAGGCGACGAACCGUAACUGGUCUGAGAGGCUGAUCAGGCACUCUGGAACUGAGACUCGGUCCAGACUCCUACGGGAGGCAGCAGUGGGGAAUAUUGGACAAUGGGCGAAAGCCUGAUCCAGCCAUGCGGCGUGUGUGAAGAAGGUCUUCGGAUUGUAAAGCACUUUAAGCGGGGAGGCGUUACCCGCAGAAGAAGCACCGGCUAACUCCGUGCCAGCAGCCGCGGUAAUUC
rnacentral:rRNA from 1 species